rnacentral:rRNA from 1 species
GUGGGGAAUCUUAGACAAUGGGCGCAAGCCUGAUCUAGCCAUGCCGCGUGAGCGAUGAAGGCCUUAGGGUUGUAAAGCUCUUUCGCUGGGGAAGAUAAUGACUGUACCCAGGAAAGAAGCCCCGGCUAACUCCGUGCCAGCAGCCGCGGUAAUACGGAGGGGGCUAGCGUUGUUCGGAAUUACUGGGCGUAAAGCGCGCGUAGGCGGAUUGGAAAGUUGGGGGUGAAAUCCCGGGGCUCAACCUCGGAACUGCCUUCAAAACUCCCAGUCUUGAGUUCGAGAGAGGUGAGAGGAAUUCCGAGUGUAGAGGUGAAAUUCGUAGAUAUUCGGAGGAACACCAGUGGCGAAGGCGGCUCACUGGCUCGAUACUGACGCUGAGGUGCGAAAGCGUGGGGAGCAAACAGGAUUAGAUACCCCAGUAGUCC